rnacentral:misc_RNA from 1 species
ACAAACUUGGUCAUUUAGAGGAAGUAAAAGUCGUAACAAGGUUUCCGUAGGUGAACCUGCGGAAGGAUCAUUAUCGAAUUUUUGAAGCGAGGCUUGCUGCUGGUGCGGAAACGCGCAUGUGCACGGCAUUCGUGCUCAAAUCCAUUCAACCUCUGUGCACCUACAUCUGGUUGAAACGAGUAGUUCGGGCAUUUGCAACGGAGUAAUGAGUAGAAAGGAAGCGUAGUGUUUCCGUUUGAAAGUGAAAUGUCUCGGCUCGGGUGAAAGCUUCGACUUGUUUUUAUAAACCACAUUUGUUGUCUUGUGAAUGUGAUGCUCCCUGUGAGCGAGAAUAAAUAUAACUUUCAACAACGGAUCUCUUGGCUCUCGCAUCGAUGAAGAACGCAGC